UACGAAGGGGGCUAGCGUUGCUCGGAAUCACUGGGCGUAAAGGGUGCGUAGGCGGGUCUUUUAAGUCAGGGGUGAAAUCCUGGAGCUCAACUCCAGAACUGCCUUUGAUACUGAAGAUCUUGAGUUCGGGAGAGGUGAGUGGAACUGCGAGUGUAGAGGUGAAAUUCGUAGAUAUUCGCAAAGAACACCAGUGGCGAAGGCGGCUCACUGGCCCGAUACUGACGCUGAUGCACGAAAGCGUGGGGAGCAAACAGG
rnacentral:rRNA from 1 species